UCUCCCGUUCGAAGGUACAUAACCUUCGCGGAAGAUUCAUGCGUAUAUUACUUACUCGACACGUGCGUUAGGAGACGCGAGUGAGAGAUUCAUGAAUUAACCAAGAUGAGUAACAACGACCUCUCGCGGCUAAUUGCCUCCAUAUUUCUAUAUAGUUUGAAAUGUUUAGGUCAACGUUGCCUUUCAAAGAACAGUAUAACGGAUAAGCGAGCUUGCGGUUUUGCGGGAUCACAUUUAAUCAUAGGUUUUGUAAUCAAUAUCGAAACGUGAUUUUCAGAAAAAUGAUAACAUUCGAGCGAUUUCUAUAUCGAUUAUUUGUAAAUCGAAAUCGGAUAUAAUUGUGAUUAGAGAUAUCUUAAAUUUACUUUAGAUAAAUAUCGCUACAUCGACAUCAGAGGAAAGCAAUGAAGAUAAAAGUGACAAAUAACCGAAUAACUAUUAUCAUAAAUAUUUAAAUAAUGACUACUAGAAUUGUAAUAAAAAUAUAUAUAUAAUAAAAAAUUUUUAUUUUUAUUAAAAACUUUAUUGUAACAAUAAUAAUUUCUAUUCUGAUUAAUGAAAAGAUGUUUUUAAACUAUUAUUUCAUAAAAAUCUGUAAAUAUAUUCUCUGUAUAUUGUUAAAUGUUUUCAUCAACCAAAAAGAAAAAACAAGAGAACGAAACUUAAGAAAUAACUAAUAAAACUAGUUUAAUUAAUGCAAAGAUGAAGAAACAAGUGAUAAAAAAUGGCUUUAAUGACGUUAUUUGAUUUUUUUGUAAAUAAUUGGAAAUUUAUUAAAAAUCAUCAAAUCGCUGUACAUAUUAUCGCUGAUACUUGUAAUUAAAAUAACAAUUAAUCGAGAAACUUAUAUAUUUUGUAACAUUUAAAAGGAUAAAUAAAAAAAAAUAGAAAAAGUAUUACAAGUAUGCUGAGAUGUAAAUAUUCAAGCAUAUGAUAUUCCUUAUAUGCUUAGAAUUUAUGGCAACUGUAAAAAAAGUAGAAAAAAUAUUAUAAGUUUACUUGAGAUGUAAAUAUUCAGAUUUUCAUCAGUUAUAAAUUCUUAAUUAAUUUAUCGAAGUUAUAAUAGAAAUUGCAUAGAAAUACCAAAGAUCGUAAAUUCAUGAGUUUAUAGCAAAGAUAAGAUAUAUAAAAUCCACGUUUAAUUUGCAAAAUUCUUUUAGACACACCUAUGAAAUAAUGUGGAGGAGCUAUUUACAGCCAAAAUAACUCGGUAUGGAACAAAACCAAUACGACGUUGGAUGGCCUUUAAGAGAUCUAAUAAUAAACUACGUACAUGCCUUAAAGAAAUGACAAUACUAAUUUUCACAUGCAAACUUCGGAUUUCAUUUUAUAUGAAUGCAAAUCGAUGAUAAUUUUUCGAAAAUUACUCGCUUUCUAAAUCAGAAAUUUGGAAAGUAUGUCUCGAUAGUAUGACUAAUCGUGAUUUACGUGCCGAUCCAAUCGCACAAACACGUAUUGACCAAUAAUAUCUCGUUUCACAGACGGAAAAUAUUUUCCAUUCACGCGAUAAAAAUAAAAUCAAAACGACAACUACUAUUUAUAUAACAGAAGAUGCAACGUUCAAAUGAAACAGCUUUUUGAUGGAUAAAUGUAUUUGUCGUACCUAUCGCUAUGUAAGUGACAAACGAACGGUCAAAGAAGAAAAGCGAUGAAUGAAUAAAGCAAGUAGUUGUAGGAGAGACGAAGAAAUAUGCGAUAACCUAUUAGCAUUUAUCACGAAAGAAAACAAAACAGUCUCUUGCACCCCAUCGAGUGACCCUGCCUGCCUCGAGAUUCUACUCGAUUUCUAGGGAUCUAUUCAGAUUUUUGUAAAAAUAUGGGUCGGCCGUUAAAUGCAUCGGAAGUGGAGUUUUAGAAGAAGAAAAAAGGAAAGAUAUACGAGAUAAGAAUCAGAUUACAUUUACACAAUUGAGUAUAAAUAGAUUAUUCGUUCGAGUUACAAAGAAAGUGUAGUUAAGUAUAAAAUACAUAAAUGGCCAUGUUACGUACCUACGUAUUAUCAAGAAACUAGAUUUAGAUCGACAUCAAAAUUGUUGUAGUUAUCCUAUUGUAUCACGCGAUAAGAAGCUUUCGUACUGAUUUUACGUUUUCCAUUUCCUCUUAAAACGAAAUUUCACAGCAAUUCUUCGCAGAGAUUUAUACAAAAUUGACAUACCAUCACCAAGAUCUAACCACCCAUCGAUCGAAUACCAGUUAAAAACAAUUUAUUUAAAAAAAUUCUCCACAACAAAAGAUAGAAAAAUUUAUUAAAAUUCUGAAUCAUUCACACAUUAUGAUUUCUUCCUUUUGAGAUCUACGUAUAUAUCCAUCAACGAGCGACAACUUCAUUAGAAAAAAAAAAACCUAAUCCCAAAUUAAAAAAAUAAUUUAAAAAAAAUCUUCAAUUUCACGAAGUUGACUUGCUUCCAGCCAGAAGCAAGAUUUCUCAAGAGUGAAGGCCAGCUUCCCUAGAAGGCUGAGUGUGAAACCACGUGUUCUCUUACCUCCUAAAUUCCGAUCUUUCGUUAUGGUAUCCCAGUAUCCUUGAAACGGCAAAAGUAUCCUUGAACGGUUCACCAAUGCACUCGAAAGUGGGAUAGAAGGAGAGAAGUGUCUGUGAGGAAAUGUUAUCGAUACUUGUGCAUCGAUAGGGAAGGCGCAAGAGAGAAGGCAGAGGUGCAACACUUGGAAGGUCGUUCGAUCGGUGGCGAGUUGAAAGAGUGGAGGUCGGUUGAUCGAGUUGAAGACGCGCGCGAAGAUGAAUCCACGACGAGGAUCGAACGUGCGUAAGAUACGAUCUAUCGUAGCCUGAGGCCGAGUUAGGACUGUGGACUCUGACAGACCACGGGCGAGAGAACGUAGCCAGCGAGCAGGGCUGCCAACUCUGGCCCCGCUCUCUCGCGGACCCCACCACGCGAUGCACACUCUUGGUAGCGAUAGGUGUGCGCGAUCUGUCUCGAAGGGAACCGGUGAAAUCGUACCGAGGAGCGAACGAUCUCUUAUGGUUUGUCCUUUAGAAACGUGUGUUGAAAUGUUGAAAUGGUGAAUAGGUGACCCCCUGCUGCUUUUUCUUUUCUUUUCUUUUUCUCUCCUAGAUUUUAAGUAGAUUCAGUCGAGGAUAAUUUAUUGGAAGUUGUAAAGAUUAAAGAGUUUUUGAGAUUUUUUUUUUAUUUGAAUUUUAAGUAUUAAAUGUGGAAUAUAGUUGCUCGGAUACUUUGAUCUUUGACGUUUGUUAGAGUAAGAUAUUUAGAAAUUUUAAAUAUUAAAUUUUAAAUAUUGAGUGUAGCUUUUUGUUAAAAGAAUAUGAUUGAAUAUCUUUGAGAUCUUUUUUUAAUGAUGUGAAUUUUAAGGUAUGAAUUUUUAAGUAGAUAAAAUUGAAGAUUGUAAGAAUUAUGAUUAAAUGUAUCUGAGAUAUUUUAUAUUUUUAAUGAUGUGAAUUUUAAAUAUUGGAUACAAAUGUUCAAAUUGUAAGUAUUGAGUUUUUGCAAAUUUAUCAAUAUGUUUAAAAUAAUUGAAAACGGCUUGAUUAAAAGUUGUAAUAAAGAUGAUUAUUUUUAUAUAGUUCAUUGAAAAUUUUUGAAAUAUAUUGUUGAUAAUAUAAGAUUAUAUAAGGAAUAAGGAAUUUUAAGUAUUGAGUGCAGUUUUUGUAUUUGAAAUUUAUCAAUAUGUUUAAAAAUUUAUUUUUAAAAAUUAAUAUAAAUAAUACAAUUAUUAAUUAAUAUAUAGUAAUAAUUAAUAUAAUGUAAUAAAUUAAAUACUAGAAAAUUUUCUAUAUCUGAUGUUAUAGAUAAUUACUGGAACAAUCAAUUACUUGGAAUAAAUUUCAUUACCUUUAUUAUUAAUUCGCGCUAUUCGUGAGAUUGAAUAUAAUUUUGAUUAAUAUUAUGAUUAUAAUUUUAUUUCUUGUAAGUAUCAUAUUUGCACAAAUACAAACAGUUUAAAUAUCAUUAAAAAUAUUUCUAUAAAAUCAUAUCAGAUAUUGAUAGUCGCUUUCUUAAAGCAGAACACUUCUAAAGAAAAUUUAAACAGAUUUUUUAUAAACAUAUUCGACGACAAAUGAAACAGAGAUCAAAAAGAAAAAAUUUGAUGAAACAAAUAUCAAACAUAAUUUUUAUCAUUCAAUUAUUAAUUUAUUUUUUAUUAUUAAUCAAUCAAUUAUCAUUAAAAUAUUUUAAUAUUUUAUUUUUUCUAUUUCAUUUGUAUUCUGUAGACUUUUUACAUUUAAAUUUUUCAUAAACUAUUUACACACAACUAUAUUAUUGUCAUAUACAUAUAAUUAGAUUAUAGAUAUUUAUAAAUGCAAAAUAUAAUUUUUAUUAUUAUAAAAAUUAAAUUAAAAAAAUUAAAGAAAUUAAUCUUAAAUAGAGACUUGUCUUAUUCUUCAAAUAUUACAAUGCAUACUACAUUUAUAUUUUAUGCUUUUUUUUUAUUAAAUUUUUCUAUAUUCAAACGCUUUAAUUAUCGUGCGAACGAUAUUUACAAAACACACGAUGUCGCUCACCAUUAAUUAAUCCACUCAAUCCACUCAUCCAUUUCUGCUUACAACAGUCGCUUGGUAACCGGUCAUCCUCCUCAAUCUUUAUGAUUAAAAGGAAUAUUCUGCUUUAUAAAACAUCUCUCCUGCGCAAUAUCAUGAUCUCACUAAAGAUAAACGCGGCCUGUGCAUAAAAUAUAAUUCGCGAGAAGGAUCACGAUUUCACAGCCCAAAGAUAGGGAAUAUUUAAUUUUUCAUACAUAAGAUGUUGUUUCGUACAUCGAGCCAUUCCAUAUUAUCGAUUAUCACUUAUUCGCGUCUCUCUUGAACGGACCAAGAGCGAAUUGUCUCCUCUUGGAGGUUAGCUUCUGAUCUCUCUCUCUCUCUCUCUCUCUCUCUCUCUCUCUCUCUCUCUCUCUCUCUCUCUUUCUCUAUGACUUAUUGUUAGUCAUAUCGACCGACACUCGUCGUAUAUAUUUUCUGACCCAGAAAGAGAUUCUUGAGGGAGCGGAGACGAGAGAAAACAAGCGGCGGUGAAUCGAGCUAAACGACCAACACGUCCAUUGGCUAGUCGUAUAUGGCUAUUACAAAUCAGGGAGUCAUUGCUUGUCAAACAUGGUUACUUAAUUUUGGGAGACAUUGUUGGGAUAUCUCAAUAUUUGAGCUACAUCUUUAAGUAUUUGGUAAGGUUGUGGAAUAAGAUUAAUGAAGAUAAAUAUUUUUUUAGUAAGAUACUUUUGUGUAAUAAGGUGAGUCAUAAAGUAAUAAGAAAUUGAAAUUUUAAAAAAUAUUAUAUAUUUGAAAAUGUAAUAGAUGUAAUGUAAUAUUUUAUUGCGAAUCGUUAUCUAAUUUCAUUUUGAUUUAUAUCUUUAAAUAAUAAGCAGAAUAAAUGGAAAAUAUAAUACUUAGAUUUUUGGAAUAGAUAAGUGGAAAUAAAUGUAUAAAUAUAUAGUAAUAGCUAAUAUUAUUUAAAAGUGUAAUUAUUUGAAAAUUAUCUUAUUGAUUUUAUAAUAUCAUAAUUAUGUAUUUAUAUUACAAAUAUAGUUUCAAUUUGUAACGUGUAAUCUUUUAAUGAGUAAUAAAAUUAUCUUUAUUUCUCAUCGUCUAUCUCAAAAAUGCUCAUACAUUUUAUGUAAACAUUAUUCAAUAUCUAUUGGAAAUUAUUUUUAUUAUGAAUUUUAUAAGGAUUUAUAAAAUAGUGAUAAAUCUUAUCAACAUAAGAAAAAAUAUUAUAAAAUAAACAAAGGUAGUGCUAAUAUUUUAAAAAUACAUUUACACAUACUAUAUGAGUAUCAUGCAUGUAGAUAUAUAUAUAGUGUCCAAUGUAACUGGGACAAGUAUUAAACUGUACAGUAUUUAAAACCGUUAGAGAUGAAAGAAAAAAACGUCACGAGGUAAAAUGAAUUUUAAAAAUGCAACUAUUAAACAACUCGCUCAAUAAACUUGAACAUCUUAUAUAUAAGGUGUCUUUAUAAGGAUUUAAUUUUGACAUUUUGAUUUUUUCAAUAUCAUUAUAAAAAUUUCAUAUAAAAAUUAAACAAUAUUAAGAGAAGUAUAUUAUUAAUUCUUUUUCGAAGAUUACAUGAAACUCAAUUUUUUUAAUACAUCAAUCAAUGCAAUUCAACAUUCUUUUUUUUAUAGAAUUAAUUACUUUAUUUUAUUAAUAUAUUUUAUUUAGACUUAAGAUAUUUCAAUUUUGAAUUUUGUAAAAUUUAUUUUAUGAAGAACUCGUCUAUUCAUGCAUUUUUUUAUUUGUAGAAUUUAUGUAAUAAAUCCUACAAAAUUUAUAACGUGGAGUUGCAUUAAUUGAUGUAUUAAAAAAUAUCUGCUUAAUUUCAUUUAAAAAAACAAAGUUGACUUUCAUAUGACCUUUGUACAUGAGAGAAUAUAUAAAUAAUGCAUUAAUAAUACCAUAUAUAAUAUGUAUAUAAUAUGUAUCUCUUGACACCAUUCGUUUUUUACCUGAAACAUUUUUCACUACGAAUAAUAACAUUGAGAAAAUCAAAUCAAUAUAAAAUAAGGUAAAACAUUCCGUAUAUUUGAAAAUUAUGAAAUCUUCGUUAAUCAUGAACAAUUUGUACACUUAAUAACGCUUUAAAAAUUGUUUAAUUUUUAAAUUUUUCAUUAUAUCUAGAAUUCGUCAAAAAUAAAUGACGAACAAAUACUAAUAUGAUCUCAUGUUACAACCUUGGCAUGUAAAGCGACUGAUGGCACAGGUGCAAGCGCGAUAUCAUUUCCUUUAGCAUCACGGUUUAACUUACGAGAUGAUCAAUUAUGGUUACUCUCAAGAGGAGACAAGAAUACAACGAGUAUUAACAGUUACUUGUUAAUUUAAUUGACAGAUUACCACAGAAAAAAAAAAAGAAGGAGAAACAUAAGAAAAGUAUUGAAAUACAUCUGUGGAUUUAGAUGCGCAAAAUGACGUAGCUGGAUGUAUUUAUAUGUAUUUAUUAUUUUGAUCUUUUAUGUGCAUGCAUGAUAUUAGUUAUUGAUCGUUUCUAUUUCUUUAAACGUUAAAUGUAGUAAUAAAUCUAGCUUAUUUACAAUUCUAUUCUCCUGAGUUAAAAAGUUUCAUUAUUUUUUUCUGAAAAACGCAUAAAGUUUUUUAAUUAGAAGUCAAGUUUUAAAAAUAAAAAUAUUUUAAAUGGGAUAUUUUAACUGAAGAAAGUAGAAUUUAUUAAUUUUUUUAUUCCUAUUUUUAUAUUGCAAUAUUAUUUUAUAUAAUAUCUCAUAAUUUAGAAGAUAAUUAUGAAAAAAUGGUUUUAAAAGCUCCUUAAUUCAAACGCGUGUUUCGAACAGCAAUCAUCAGUUUUAACAGGAUUGAUUAUAAUACUUACAAUCCCAUUAAAGCUACGUACAAUGAACGCAUGACAAUGAGCCAGUACACGAUAAAAUUACUACAAAUAUCAAUUCUUGCAUUUUUUUUUUUUUUUUGCCUUUCUAUCAUUUAAAAAAACAUUUGCCCAUUACAAUCUCUCAUUUCAAAUUUCAAAUUUAUACUUUACCCAUAAUCCUGUACUCCUCAAAGAAGAUUAAUUUCACCAGUUUUUCUACUUAAAACGAGUCCUGUUAGAAGAGAAACUAUGUAAGAGCCCAAUACCAAGUUUUCACUUUUCUCUUCCACUUUCUUCCUCCAUUCUUUCACAAAGGAACUCCUGUACGAUCUGAAAAUAACAUUAUACGUGUCAAGCAACUUCUCAAUUGGAAAACGUCCUUGUUCCUUAUAUUUAUAGAUAAAUAUGUGAAAGAAAUUGUUGUGAGCACACCUUUACCCAUAAUGUCUUAGAGAGAGGAACCACUUAGGUAGAGCCACAGUAACUUUAUAACAUAAGCGUGCCAGUUGGUGGCAAAUUUGCGGAUGCGUGCAAUUGGCAUUGCCUAUGCCCUGCCGUAUAUACCUAUAUGUUGGCAAUGGCGAACCAGCCGUCCAAUCGGCAGCUAUGAAGCAGUUAACUUAAUAUAGGCACACUCGGAAUGUGUGCCAUCGACGACCUCGAGGCCUUCCCUAGAGGGCGCUCGAAAGAAUCUCUCGGUUCGAGGGAAGACAAAUCAAAAGGAAAUCUAAUAUCGUCGAAAUUGCACUAGUUGUCCAUGGCGGUUGUUAUAGAUAUGCCUUGCGUAACACUUUAUUAUAGAUGCAAAAACUUAAAGACAAAAGCUAACCUCAUUGCGAAUCGAGUUACGAAUAAAUGCAAAGUUACAAAUAAUCAUUAUUUAUAUCAUUCAUGACGUACAGUUGAUUUGAAUAAUUGGCACCGAAUCUUCAAGUUGGAAAUAUGCAGUUCGAUAAAAUGGUCCACGCAAAGAUAUUACGUUACGCCCACGCAAUAAACGGCGUUAACACGAGAAUGUUAAGAGUUAAUGGACCAACUUCCCGGACACGACGAGUUUCAACGGCCGUAGCGAAUCCUCUGGCAAUGACAUUGACAGAACUGUCAUUUCUCGUCGAUCAAAAAGACACCUGUUAAUUAUAUAUGAACAAUGUAUUGUAAUGAGGUUCGAAUGAUUCAAAUUUAAACGAGAGAACAUGCUAUGAUUCUCGAUCAGUUGUGUAAACUGUGUAACUAGUAUUAGUAUUUUGUAAUAGAACAGAGGAAACAGCACACAUAUAAAUUGCAGUAUUUAUAGCAAUAUUUGCAUAAGAUACAUCCAUUUUUUAUUUCUCCCAAAUGUUUCUUUUUUCCCCAGUAAUAAGGAACGAUAAGUAUUAAUUAAUUUAAAAUAAUUAUGAUUAUCUAAAAAAUCUAACGAUUAUUGAUGCAAAAUACAAAAUUUUAUUAUGUAAAUACAAAUUAAAGCAAGUAUUCAAUAUUUAUUUACUCUAAAGUUUGAUUAAAAUAAGCGAUUGAAAUGAUCAUCAUUUAUUUUCCAAUAAUCCAAUAUUUCUGUCUAGUUGAAUUAAAUUAUUAUCGUGCCAUACGAAUAUGAAUUUCUAAGAUGCAUUGUUUAACAUAUACAAUUACAGGAAAUGAACAAGUUGGCCUAUUUCGUAUCGACGGCAGACAGGUCGUUAUAAAGAGAAAGAAAAGAAUCUAUAAUGACAGUUUGAAUCGAAUUCGAUGUGACGUAAAACGUGUAGUCUAUGGUGAAACACGUCAUGAUAGAUUAAGCUUUAAUAUCAUGAAUAUUGUUAAUUAAUAAGAACAUUAAUAUGCGGAAUGGUUACGUUGGAGACAAUGAAAAUGAUUCGCAAUGUUAAACAUUGUAACAUAUCCAUUCGUAAAAAAACAAACGAUGUUAUAAUUCUAUGAUCCACCGUAUCUGUGAUCACCAUCUGACGAUAGAUUUUUCAUAUAAUUUAAUUAGAUUUUCAAAUAAUUCAUUAUCAAUUUCAUUAUCAUUUCAAAUAAUUCAUUAUCGAAUAAAAAUAUAUACUUCAAAUAUUUCGAUAUUUGAAAAAAAUGAA